rnacentral:rRNA from 1 species
CCGUAUGUGACUGGAAAUGUUAACCUAUGUAAAGCUCCUUCGACGAGUCGAGUUGUUUGGGAAUGCAGCUCUAAAUGGGAGGUAAAUUUCUUCUAAAGCUAAAUAUUGGCGAGAGACCGAUAGCGCACAAGUAGAGUGAUCGAAAGAUGAAAAGCACUUUGGAAAGAGAGUUAAAAAGCACGUGAAAUUGUUGAAAGGGAAGCGCUUGCAAUCAGACUUGUUUAAACUGUUUCGGCCGGUCUUUCUGACCGGUUUACUCAGUUUGGACAGGCCAGCAUCAGUUUCGGCGGCCGGAUAAAGGCUCUGGGAAUGUGGCCUUCACUUCGGUGAAGGUGUUAUAGCCCAGGGUGUAAUACGGCCAGCCGGGACUGAGGUCCGCGCUUCGGCUAGGAUGCUGGCGUAAUGGUUG